AUUGAACGCUGGCGGCAGGCCUAACACAUGCAAGUCGAGCGGAUGAAGGGAGCUUGCUCCUGGAUUCAGCGGCGGACGGGUGAGUAAUGCCUAGGAAUCUGCCUGGUAGUGGGGGAUAACGUCCGGAAACGGGCGCUAAUACCGCAUACGUCCUGAGGGAGAAAGUGGGGGAUCUUCGGACCUCACGCUAUCAGAUGAGCCUAGGUCGGAUUAGCUAGUUGGUGGGGUAAAGGCCUACCAAGGCGACGAUCCGUAACUGGUCUGAGAGGAUGAUCAGUCACACUGGAACUGAGACACGGUCCAGACUCCUACGGGAGGCAGCAGUGGGGAAUAUUGGACAAUGGGCGAAAGCCUGAUCCAGCCAUGCCGCGUGUGUGAAGAAGGUCUUCGGAUUGUAAAGCACUUUAAGUUGGGGGGAAGGGCAGUAAGUUAAUACCUUGCUGUUUUGACGUUACCGACAGAAUAAGCACCGGCUAACUUCGUG
rnacentral:rRNA from 1 species